GUGUACUAUUGCAAAAUAGCGGAUCUCCCCGGUUAGGAUACAGACCACAACGCUUUGGACGUAUCUUUAAAAAAGAGAAAAAUCAGAGACUUUUUGGAUUUGUCUGGGGACAUUUUAAACAUUUUGUGUCAAAUUGGAUUUAAAACAUUUCGGAUACUGGAUACCUAGUUUGAUUUGUCCACAGAGCUUGUUUAAGACGUUUUCACCUCAUUUUAGGGUUUAUUUUUAAUUAAAGGCUUCUUAAAACAUGUAUGAAAAUGUGUAUAUUAUACAAUGAGUCUUAUAUUGUCUGCUCUGACAAAAAUAAAUUAUUAUUUUAGAUCUUA